CAGUCAUGAUGGUCCCCGUGAAACUUAACUCCAGUGUGUCCUGUGACAAAAAUGAGGCCAUGUCUACACGUAGCAGGCCUUUUUAAAAGUAAGACUAAUGCCCAUUGCCCACCCACACCUGGCAUCCUGAGAACACCACUGUCUCAACCACAUCUAUCUCACUGUUCCGUCAGCCACGCGGUUCGUUCAGGAGUGCUGUCAGCAUUGCUGCAGAGAUUGAAGAGGUGGGGGGUCAGCCUGUUAGUGCUCAGACCAUACGCCGCACUCUACAUCAAAUUUGUGUGCAUGGCUGUCACCCCAGGAGAAAGCCUCUUCUGAAGAUGCAAACUGUUUGCGGGCUUUCUUGUCUGCAGAAGAGGAACGUACCGCGUGGCUGACUUGAGAGAGGACUUUUUACUUUUACUUUUCAUGUUUAGCUGCGGCGGACAGUAGGCAUGUUGUGUUGCACAACUUCUG